GAUGAACGCUAGCUACAGGCUUAACACAUGCAAGUCGAGGGGCAGCAGGACGAUAGCUUGCUAUUGUUGCUGGCGACCGGCGCACGGGUGAGUAACGCGUAUCCAACCUUCCCUAUACUAGAGAAUAGCCCGGCGAAAGUCGGAUUAAUACUCUAUGUUGUAUUUCGAGGACAUCUGAAGAAUACCAAAGGUUUACCGGUAUAGGAUGGGGAUGCGUCUGAUUAGGUUGUUGGCGGGGUAACGGCCCACCAAGCCGACGAUCAGUAGGGGUUCUGAGAGGAAGGUCCCCCACAUUGGAACUGAGACACGGUCCAAACUCC
rnacentral:rRNA from 1 species